rnacentral:rRNA from 1 species
ACAGCAGUAGCCGCGGUAAUACGUAGGUGGCAAGCGUUGUCCGGAAUUAUUGGGCGUAAAGGGCUCGCAGGCGGUUUCUUAAGUCUGAUGUGAAAGCCCCCGGCUCAACCAGGGAGGGUCAUUGGAAACUGGGAAACUUGAGUGCAGAAGAGGAGAGUGGAAUUCCACGUGUAGCGGUGAAAUGCGUAGAGAUGUGGAGGAACACCAGUGGCGAAGGCGACUCUCUGGUCUGUAACUGACGCUGAGGAGCGAAAGCGCGGGGAGCGAACAGGAUUAGAUACCCCCGUAGUCCCUGUCUCUUAUAA